rnacentral:rRNA from 1 species
GACGAACGCUGGCGGCGUGCCUAAUACAUGCAAGUAGAACGCACAGUUUAUACCGUAGCUUGCUACACCAUAAACUGUGAGUUGCGAACGGGUGAGUAACGCGUAGGUAACCUGCCUGGUAGCGGGGGAUAACUAUUGGAAACGAUAGCUAAUACCGCAUAAUAUUGAUUAUUGCAUGAUAAUUGAUUGAAAGAUGCUAUUGCAUCACUACCAGAUGGACCUGCGUUGUAUUAGCUAGUAGGUGAGGUAACGGCUCACCUAGGCGACGAUACAUAGCCGACCUGGGAGGGUGAUCGGCCACACUGGGACUGAGACACGGCCCAGACUCCUACGGGAGGCAGCAGUAGGGAAUCUUCGGCAAUGGACGAAAGUCUGACCGAGCAACGCCGCGUGAGUGAAGAAGGUUGUCGGAUCGUAAAGCUCUGUUGUAAGAGAAGAACGGGUGUGAGAGUGGAAAGUUCACACUGUGACGGUAGCUGACCAGAAAGGGACGGCUAACUACGUG